CAAACGACCCUCGGCAACGGAUAUCUCGGCUCACGCAUCGAUGAAGAACGUAGCAAAAUGCGAUACUUGGUGUGAAUUGCAGAAUCCCGUGAACCAUCGAGUUUUUGAACGCAAGUUGCGCCCGAAGCCUUCUGGCCGAGGGCACGUCUGCCUGGGCGUCACAC
rnacentral:rRNA from 1 species